rnacentral:misc_RNA from 1 species
UACGAGGGGAGCUAGCGUUACUCGGAAUUAUUGGGCGUAAAGAGUGCGUAGGCGGCACAGUAAGUUAGAAGUGAAAUCCUUGAGCUUAACUCAAGAACUGCUUUUAAUACUGCUGAGCUAGAGUAUCAGAGGGGGUAGUGGAAUUCCUAGUGUAGAGGUGAAAUUCGUAGAUAUUAGGAGGAACACCAGUGGCGAAGGCGACUAUCUGGCUGAAUACUGACGCUGUUGCACGAAAGCGUGGGGAGCAAACAGG